rnacentral:rRNA from 1 species
GCAUAACACAUGCAAGUCGAACGAGAGAAUUGCUAGCUUGCUAAUAAUUCUCUAGUGGCGCACGGGUGAGUAACACGUGAAUAACCUGCCCCCGAGAGCGGGAUAGCCCUGGGAAACUGGGAUUAAUACCGCAUAGUAUCGAAAGAUUAAAGCAGCAAUGCGCUUGGGGAUGGGCUCGCGGCCUAUUAGUUAGUUGGUGAGGUAACGGCUCACCAAGGCGAUGACGGGUAGCCGGUCUGAGAGGAUGUCCGGCCACACUGGAACUGAGACACGGUCCAGACACCUACGGGUGGCAGCAGUCGAGAAUCAUUCACAAUGGGGGAAACCCUGAUGGUGCGACGCCGCGUGGGGGAAUGAAUGUCUUCGGAUUGUAAACCCCUGUCAUGUGGGAGCAAAUUAAAAAGAUAGUACCACAAGAGGAAGAGACGGCUAACUCUGUGCCAGCAGCCGCGGUAAUACAGAGGUCUCAAGCGUUGUUCGGAAUCACUGGGCGUAAAGCGUGCGUAGGCUGUUUCGUAAGUUGUGUGUGAAAGGCGCGGGCUCAACCCGCGGACGGCACAUGAUACUGCGAGACUAGAGUAAUGGAGGGGGAACCGGAAUUUUCGGUGUAGCAGUGAAAUGCGUAGAUAUCGAGAGGAACACUCGUGGCGAAGGCGGGUUCCUGGACAUUAACUGACGGUGAGGCAUGAAGACCAGGGGAGCG